UUCUUAUGCAGCAUCCUGAAAUGAAUUUUCAGUGAAAAUCUCUGCUUUGGAUAUCUACAAUGAGAUUGUAGUUGACCUUUUGAAUCGAAAUUCUGGUCCACUUUGACUUUUUGAUGAUCCUGAGAAAUGAACCAUUGUCAAAAAGCAAGUUGAAGAAGUUGUAAAGGGGGGUCAGCAUUUGAAGCAUUUAAGUGGCAUAUGUGAAGACCAUCGGAGAGUCGCCUCAAGGAAACUUCAGGUCGUGUGAAGUCCUUUGUAGCAAGCCUGGUACAUGCCUCCUACUUGAUCCGUCGGAUGGAACACCAAGAAGAUUUGGGUUCUGUGAAUUUGAAUUUGCUGAAUGGGUUCUUCGAGCUCUACGACUGCUGAGUAAAUGCAAUGUUGACGGCGAAGAGUUGGAGGUAAGUCAUGGUGAGGCAUAAUAAUGUUGUGCCUUAUGGCCAUUUCAAGAAGCACUGGAAGAACUAUAUAAGGACUUGGUUCAAUCAUCCCGCUCGUAAAACCAGAAGAAAACUAGGAACAAAGCAGCUAUAGUGCAAACAGGGGGAGUACAUAAGAUGUUAAAUUAGAUCAAUCCUCAAAUUGGUGUCUGAAACUAGUUGUUUCAAAAGCCAUUUGUGGCGAACUUCCUUGUAUAGUUCCUUGCAUUGAGCGCGUUCGAUACAAAUAAGUCGAUCAUUGGUACUUCCGGGGCGAUCCCUUAUCUUGUUAGCGUAGUCCUCGCCAUGAAGAAAUAUCUAGCUCGCAAGCUAGGCAAGAAGAGCACUUUACAAUCUCUCUAUAUCACCGGCAAGCAUUGCCUUGAUUGUAUCAAAAUGUGUUAUAUUGUAGCAAAACUCUAUGUCUUUUAUCUAUCUUCUUUUUUAUUAAAUACUUCUUUACCUUGUCACAUGUAUAGGAUAUUUCACAUCAUAACGUUUACAUAAUGCACAUAGAGUUUUU